UACGGGGGGAGCAAGCGUUGUUCGGAUUUACUGGGCGUAAAGCGUGCGCAGGCGGUUCGUUGUGUCGGUGGUGAAAUCCCCGGGCUUAACCUGAGAAUGGCCAUGGAAACUGGCGAACUGGAGUGCGGCAGAGGGGGGUGGAAUUCCGCGUGUAGCAGUGAAAUGCGUAGAGAUGCGGAGGAACACCGAUGGCGAAGGCAGCCCCCUGGGCUAGCACUGACGCUCAGGCACGAAAGCGUGGGGAGCAAACAGG
rnacentral:rRNA from 1 species